AGAUCCUCACUGCCUGGAUUUCUUGCCAUUGGAAGGGGUGCCUCUCCCUGAAGGUGGAUCUCUGAAGGAGGCAGGCCAGGCCUUCCAGCAAAGCUUUCUUUGCCUGGUGUGGUUGUCUAUCUCUCCAGGGGACAGCAAGUGACCGGCACAGAGGCUCUGCUGUGUGCCUGCAGAACGCAGGGACUGCCUUCCCAGCUGCCUCUGCGCAGCCAGAACCUUCCACUGAGAAGCCAGGCGCUUCUACAUGGUAGAGCUGAGCCAAGAACUUCAGACGUAACCAACGCACAGGACAAGCUCUGGGGACCGUGUCUCCUGAACGCACACGACACAAGCUGAGGGGAGCCACUCCUUAGAAACAAUUAAACAGGAAUAUUACAGGAUUCAGUAUCCCUCUUUGGGAACUGGUGGACCCGUCACCCCCAAAUGAAAUCAGCACUUCUCAAAGUGUCCUGUAUUUAUGGUAGCACUAGCCACAGUAGCCAGGAUACAAAAAAAAAAAAAAAAAAAAAGAAAAAAGAAAAAAGAAAAAAGAAAGAAAGAAAGAAAGACUUGUGAAUGGCUAAAGUUUGAUACACACCUCUAGAGAGAGGGGGAGAGAGAGAGCCUUAAAAAUUAAAAAUGAAUUUUAAGGAAUUAUAUCACAUUCUAAACAUGUGUAACAAACAAACAAAAAGGAGGAUGUUUCUUUGACCUUGUGGUUGUUUUAUAGGCUCCUCAUCAGAACACCUUAUAUCCUUAGCUGAGGUUCCUAUGUUCCCCAGAAACCAUAAGCCCCCUUAACUUUGCUCUGAUUUUUCUGACUGCUUUCUACACUUACUGAUAGUAGCACAACACCUUAGAAACCUGGAUCUUGAUGACAUCUGCACACAGCUUAAAGAGAAUAUUGGCUUCAACAUGCCACAAUUUAGACAUAUUUGGGGCUGGCCAUCUAGAAAUGGACUUUGGACUUGAAAUUCCCAGAACCCUCAGCAACACAGCGUCCCUCCACUCUGAUCCACAUGCUGUGGUCCAGGCGUAAGGUAGUGUGUCUGAGAGAACACUGUGAGGGACUCGGUCAGCUCACUGGACUCGGCUUCUCAUACUGUCUAAAUGUGAGCUCGGUGCUGGGUCUGUGUCCUGAUGACGCCACAGCCACUUCCUGUUGUGCAAAAACCAAGCUAUCAAGUUUGAACUGCUUUGAACUGCCAUCUUGAAUAUAGAGAAAUGGAGCACAGACGCUGGCCUGGUGCCCCCUUCUCCCAGUGUGAAGAAAUGGACGUCUGACUAGCAAGUUCCCUCUCAAAUUUUCAAGACUCCCAUAGUAAGAAAAGAAGAAAGCCAGAUGGUUCCAGUUUUGUUUGUGGAAGCAACCACAGAGGACUCACACUGAGCCCAGCUGCCUCUUCACCCUUGCAGGUUUCUGUGGGUUGUACCUGUUCCUCUUGGUUCUCCAUUGUUCCUUGUCCAUCAGUGGGUAGACAAACGUCAAUUAUUUCUGGUGAAGCAAUGGAUCAUACUAACCAUGGACUGAAACUCCAGACGCCAUGACUUCAGACUCCGGCUACCUUGGAGACAGCUGUGUGAGCACUGAAAGUGGUGAUAACUAUAAUUGACUGUGGAAAUAAUGAUGAUCCAUAAAUCUACAUUGGAACUCUGUGUGCAUGUGAGAGAGACAGGAACACACACACACACACACACACACACACACACACACACACAAAUCCUUCUUUCUCUACUUUUCUUCUACAGUAAUUUUUUUAUAAUAAUAAGUGACCAACAUACUAGGUCCUUAGUGAAAAUAGUAUUCUAAGAUAAUAGUUUCUCACUACCUUAGAGAUUAACAAACUGGAGGUGUUAUCGUAAGAUUUAUCUCAAACUAAGAGCAAAGAGAUAGAUAACUUGAUGUAAAAAGUGAAUGGUUAAUUCACAUAUAAGAAACACGGGUAGCAAUGAAACAUUACAUGGAUGUUGGUAAAGGAAGUGGGAUGUAUAAACCUUACAUAAUCCCAGCAUGGAUGAGGGCAUGGCACCCCUCCAAGGAACAAUGCAAGUGACAGCUUCUGAGAGAGGGAGAUACAGUGUUCUUCAUGAGUGUGGCCCCUGCUAGGCUGACUACGCUCCAGUGGAAAGCCACAUACCAAGGUAUAUGACCAGGCAUAAAUGGACGUAAUGAAUUUACAAAACCAAGGACAUAAAGUUGGACAGAGAAGGAAUGAGGCAUAGAUCUGGGAGAAAUUGCUGGAGGGCAAUGGAUAUGAUCUAAAAAAUAAAAUAAAAUAAAAUAAAAUAAAAUAAACGCU